rnacentral:pre_miRNA from 7 species
UUCUCGGGUUUCUGGGUGUCCCCAAAUCCUGGACGAGCCCCCAAGAUGUGAUACCCCCUUUUCAGGAGCCCCCACUCUAGUCUUGGGAGAGAGAGCACACCUAAAGAAACACAAGAAUCC